GCUGAUUGGACGAGAUUUUAAUCACGUGAUGUGGAUCAAAGCCUGUUUUGCGAGUCGUUGGCCUGAGGAGAAUUUUGGAGCUUCAGGUGAAAUAGCACCUGAUAAAUAUUUGACUGAAAAUUAAAACAUUUCGUUCUUUUUAUUUGGUUUUCUUCACAAUUCGCGUUAUAAAAUGGAGAAGAGUUGGGAACUAAUUCCAGAGAGACGACCGUUGCUAGAAAGCAGCAAGCGUGUGGCGAACGAGAAUGACCGACCUUCCUUUAUCUUCCCUUGGCGAUCCUUUCCUGGGUUGGUUCAAAACGCGCCCAGCACGGCUCCAAGGACCGUGGCCCAAAAUUUUGAUGAGACCCAGGACGCCUUACCGUCCACAAAUUCGAUUACAAAGUCAGACAAGUGUUUUCAUGCUAACCUUGAAGAACCUGCACACUCACUCUCAGGCCUUAUUACCAACAUUAUUGAGAAACAACAUGAGUAUGAUGAUGAGAUGGCCAAGGAGUUGCAAGUUUUGAAAGAGUCUAAUGAAAUACUGUGCAAAGUGCAAGCAAGGUGCAAGGAACUCCAGCAAGAGGUGGUCUGUGUGGAGAGGCGACUGUGGCCUGUGCAGAGGCAAAAGGCAGAGGCAAAACUGAGCUGCAUGCAAGCUGGGAAAAGGGUCACACACACACACACACACACACACACACACACACACACACACACACACACACACACACACACACACACACCAAUCCGUAACUUUUACGUUGCAUAUCACAAUGUUUCCCUAGACUCCG
rnacentral:lncRNA from 1 species